rnacentral:rRNA from 1 species
AGUGAACGCUGGCGGUAGGCCUAACACAUGCAAGUCGAACGGCAGCACAGUAAGAGCUUGCUCUUACGGGUGGCGAGUGGCGGACGGGUGAGGAAUACAUCGGCAUCUACUUUUUCGUGGGGGAUAACGUAGGGAAACUUACGCUAAUACCGCAUAAGACCUACGGGUGAAAGCAGGGGAUCUUCGGACCUUGCGCGAUUGAAUGAGCCGAUGUCGGAUUAGCUAGUUGGCGGGGUAACGGCCCACCAAGGCGACGAUCCGUAGCUGGUCGGAGAGGAUGGUCAGCCACACUGGAACUGAGAAACGGUCCAGACUCCUACGGGAGGCAGCAGUGGGGAAUAUUGGACAAUGGGCGCAAGCCUGAUCCAGCCAUACCGCGUGGGUGAAGAAGGCCUUCGGGUUGUAAAGCCCUUUUGUUGGGAAAGAAAAGCAGCAGGUUAAUACCCCGCUGUUCUGACGGUACCCAAAGAAUAAGCACCGGCUAACUUCGUG